rnacentral:siRNA from 1 species
AUACAAGAAAGGCGUAUAUGGUU